GACGAACGCUGGCGGCGUGCUUAACACAUGCAAGUCGAACGGAAAGGCCCUGCUUUUGUGGGGUGCUCGAGUGGCGAACGGGUGAGUAACACGUGAGUAACCUGCCCUUGACUUUGGGAUAACUUCAGGAAACUGGGGCUAAUACCGGAUAGGAGCUCCUGCUGCAUGGUGGGGGUUGGAAAGUUUCGGCGGUUGGGGAUGGACGUGCGGCUUAUCAGCUUGUUGGUGGGGUAGUGGCUUACCAAGGCUUUGACGGGUAGCCGGCCUGAGAGGGUGACCGGCCACACUGGGACUGAGAUACGGCCCAGACUCCUACGGGAGGCAGCAGUGGGGAAUAUUGCACAAUGGGCGGAAGCCGGAUGCAGCAACGCCGCGUGCGGGAUGACGGCCUUCGGGUUGUAAACCGCUUUCGCCUGGGACGAAGCUGGAGUGACGGUAAUGGGUAAAGAAGCACCGGCUAACUACGUG
rnacentral:rRNA from 1 species